GAUGAACGCUGGCGGCGUGCUUAACACAUGCAAGUCGAACGGUGAAGCAGAGCUUGCUCUGUGGAUCAGUGGCGAACGGGUGAGUAACACGUGAGCAACCUGCCCCUUACUCUGGGAUAAGCGCUGGAAACGGCGUCUAAUACUGGAUAUGAGCUGCGACCGCAUGGUCAGCAGUUGGAAAGAUUUUUCGGUCUGGGAUGGGCUCACGGCCUAUCAGCUUGUUGGUGAGGUAAUGGCUCACCAAGGCGUCGACGGGUAGCCGGCCUGAGAGGGUGACCGGCCACACUGGGACUGAGACACGGCCCAGACUCCUACGGGAGGCAGCAGUGGGGAAUAUUGCACAAUGGGCGAAAGCCUGAUGCAGCAACGCCGCGUGAGGGAUGACGGCCUUCGGGUUGUAAACCUCUUUUAGCAGGGAAGAAGCGAAAGUGACGGUACCUGCAGAAAAAGCGCCGGCUAACUACGUG
rnacentral:rRNA from 1 species